AUUGAACGCUGGCGGCAGGCUUAACACAUGCAAGUCGAACGAUGAAACUCUAGCUUGCUCGAGAUGAUUAGUGGCGGACGGGUGAGUAACAUUUAGGAAUCUGCCUAGUAGUGGGGGAUAGCUCGGGGAAACUCGAAUUAAUACCGCAUACGACCUACGGGUGAAAGGGGGCGCAAGCUCUUGCUAUUAGAUGAGCCUAAAUCAGAUUAGCUAGUUGGUGGGGUAAAGGCCCACCAAGGCGACGAUCUGUAACUGGUCUGAGAGGAUGAUCAGUCACACCGGAACUGAGACACGGUCCGGACUCCUACGGGAGGCAGCAGUGGGGAAUAUUGGACAAUGGGGGCAACCCUGAUCCAGCCAUGCCGCGUGUGUGAAGAAGGCCUUUUGGUUGUAAAGCACUUUAAGCAGGGAGGAGAGGCUAAUGGUUAAUACCCAGUAGAUUAGACGUUACCUGCAGAAUAAGCACCGGCUAACUCUGUG
rnacentral:rRNA from 1 species